GCGGAACUGUGGGAGGCAGUGGAGUCGGCUGCCGCCGGGCUCCUGACCACAAGGGGGCGCAUCUCCUCCACUGUCUCCCGCAGCCUGAGAACUGCGCUGCUAUUGUGGACGGAGGAGCAGUCACUGACACGGAAGCUGCCUCCUGUAGGGAGAGAUGGCACUGGCUGCAGCUAGGGGGAGCUCCAGAGCACAGCUCCUCUUCUAGCCAGCCGAGGGAAGCUCUCUGCUCCGUCAGCCUGAUGAUGAAAGCCAAAGACAGAUGAAUCCCACCCUGCCCGUUUUUGUGCGCCCUACCAACCCGCCGUUUUCUGCCUGCCGUACCCCGCCACGCCGCCAGACCCAGCCGUGCGCCGCCGGACCCGAUUGCUGCUGAAAAAGCCGCCGGCAGAGACCCGCCGCGUGUGAGCAGUGAGCCGCGGCUAGCCAGAGAGAGGAAACCACCGGCUGCCCGCCGCUCAGCAAAGGAGAGACAGAGCCGCAUCGCUGCAGGACGGAGCCGCCAGCCGCCCGCCGUUUCCGUGGAAACAGAGCCGCUGCAGGGGAAAGAGACGCCUCUGAGCUGCAGGGACCCACAGGAGAGAGGAACUACCCGAGGAGGACACCCAGCAGUGUGUCCGCUGCCACCAGCCUCCACCGAUCAGACAGCCGGCACCCAGGAGGAACUUACCCAACAACCGCCAGCGCCAUCCACCAGACCGCAGGUACU